AUACGUAGGGGGCGAGCGUUGUCCGGAAUGAUUGGGCGUAAAGGGCGCGUAGGCGGCCCGGUAAGUCUGGAGUGAAAGUCCUGUUUUUAAGAUGGGAAUUGCUUUGGAUACUGUCGGGCUUGAGUGCAGGAGAGGUAAGUGGAAUUCCCAGUGUAGCGGUGAAAUGCGUAGAGAUUGGGAGGAACACCAGUGGCGAAGGCGACUUUCUGGACUGUUACUGACACUGAGGCACGAAAGUGUGGGGAGCAAACAGGAUUAGAUACCCUGGUAGUCCACACCGUAAACGAUGAGCACUAGGUGUCGGGGAAGCAAUUCCUCGGUGCCGCAGUUAACGCAUUAAGUGCUCCGCCUGGGGAGUACGUACGCAAGUAUGAAACUCAAAUGAAUUGGCGGGG
rnacentral:rRNA from 1 species